rnacentral:rRNA from 1 species
CUGGCUCAGGAUGAACGCUGGCGGCGUGCCUAAUACAUGCAAGUCGAACGAGAACCCUUGGAUUCGUCUGGGGGGGAGAGUGGCGAACUGGUGAGUAACACGUGGGUGACCUGCCCCGAAGACGGGGAUAACCGUUGGAAACGACGGCUAAUACCCGAUAUACUCGGUGAUUCGGUUCAUCGAGUAAAGGCUCCGGUGCUUCGGGAUGGGCCUGCGGCCUAUCAGCUAGUUGGUGGGGUAAUGGCCCACCAAGGCGAAGACGGGUAGGGGGCGUGAGAGCGCGGCCCCCCACACUGGCACUGAGAUACGGGCCAGACUUCUACGGAAGGCAGCAGUCGGGGAUAUUGCACAAUCGGCGAAAGCCGGAUGCAGCGACGCCGCGUGGGCGAUGAAGGCCUUCGGGUUGUAAAGCCCUUUUAUGGGGGAAGAGACAAUGACGGUACCCCAAGAAUAAGCGUCGGCUAACUACGUGCCAGCAGCCGCGGUAAAACGUAGGACGCAAGCGUUAUCCGGAUUUACUGGGCGUAAAGAGCGUUGAGGCGGUUCCGUAAGUUGGGCGUGAAAGCCCCGGGCUUAACCCGGGGAGGUCGUUCAAUACUGCGGGACUUGAGGGCAGCAGAGGGAGGCGGAAUUCCCGGUGUCGCGGUGAAAUGCGUAGAUAUCGGGAGGAACACCAGUGGCGAAUGCGGACUCCUGGGCUGU